UACGUAGGGUGCGAGCGUUAAUCGGAAUUACUGGGCGUAAAGCGUGCGCAGGCGGCGCGUUAAGACAGGUGUGAAAGCCCCGAGCUUAACUUGGGAAUUGCGCUUGUGACUGGCGUGCUGGAGUGUGGCAGAGGGAGGUGGAAUUCCACGUGUAGCAGUGAAAUGCGUAGAGAUGAUGGAGGAACACCGAUGGCGAAGGCAGCCUCCUGGGCCAGCACUGACGCUCGAU
rnacentral:rRNA from 1 species